rnacentral:lncRNA from 1 species
ACCGCCAUAGUGACUUGCAAGCAACUCACUACACUUAGACACUGGACUACCUGAAUUUUUAAUUCAGUGAUGGAAGGCUGCUGGGUGUAGUCAAGUACUUGAUUUGUCGGUGCGUGUGUCAAGAUGGGAUUGACCACUCCAGUUCAGAAGCUGUGUACAGUCGUGUUUCAAUUUAGCAAAACCUUGGCUAGGGUAGUCCUAGUGAGGAGUCAUAGGACUGUUUGAGUUG